CUAACAAGGAUUCCCCUAGUAACGGCGAGUGAAGCGGGAAGAGCUCAAAUUUGAAAUCUCCGAUGCUUGCAUCGGCGAGUUGUAGUUGCGAGAAGCACUUUCUAGGCGGAUCGGCACUGCCUAAGUUGCUUGGAACAGCACGUCACAGAGGGUGACAACCCCGUCUGUGGCAGUGGCGGCCGCUGACGAUGUGCUUUCGAAGAGUCGGGUUGUUUGGGAAUGCAGCCCAAAAUGGGUGGUAAACUCCAUCUAAAGCUAAAUACUGGCGUGAGACCGAUAGCGAAGGAAACGAAUGGACUCAGCAAUGUGCCGUUUGAGAUUCAGCCGCGCGGGCGGGUGCGGCUCGGGGUUUGCGGAUCUGAAUGGACCGCGGUCUCGGGCUCGUCUCCCCCCGCCGGCGCACUUCUCUUGGGCGCGCGUCAACGUCGGUUGGAACUGGGCCUGAAAGGUGCCGGGAAGGUAGGUUCGCACCCUCGGGUGCGGACUGUUACAGCCCGGCUCUUGCGGCUCGGGUCCGACCGUGGCGGUUGCAGUGCAUGCCUCUUGUGGCUAGGGUCCCGCCCUUCCGGCCGGUCGUCGAACGCGGUGGACUGCUUGCAGUGCUCCGCGACCGCUGCCGGUCGUUGGGGUGGUGAUCU
rnacentral:rRNA from 1 species